rnacentral:rRNA from 1 species
GAUUAACGCUAGCGGCAGGCCUAAUACAUGCAAGUCGAACGGUAACAUGAGUAGCAAUACUUGAUGACGAGUGGCGCACGGGUGCGUAACGCGUAUGCAAUCUACCUUUAACUGGUGUAUAGCCCGAAGAAAUUCGGAUUAAUACACCAUAGUAUAGUUGAAUGGCAUCAUUUAACUAUUAAAACUCCGGUGGUUAAAGAUGAGCAUGCGUGACAUUAGCUAGUUGGUGAGGUAAUGGCUCACCAAGGCUACGAUGUCUAGGGGAUCUGAGAGGAUUAACCCCCACACUGGUACUGAGACACGGACCAGACUCCUACGGGAGGCAGCAGUAAGGAAUAUUGGACAAUGGUCGCAAGACUGAUCCAGCCAUGCCGCGUGAAGGAUGACGGCCCUAUGGGUUGUAAACUUCUUUUGUAUGGGAAAAAACCUCUUUACGUGUAAAGAGCUGAUUGUACCAUAAGAAUAAGGAUCGGCUAACUCCGUGCCAGCCGCCGCGGUAACAC